rnacentral:rRNA from 1 species
GGUUAAGUGACUAAGCGUACACGGUGGAUGCCUAGGCAGUCAGAGGCGAUGAAGGGCGUGCUAAUCUGCGAAAAGCGUCGGUAAGGUGAUAUGAACCGUUAUAACCGGCGAUACCCGAAUGGGGAAACCCAGUGUGUUUCGACACACUAUCAUGUCAUGAAUACAUAGUGGCAUGAGGCGAACCGGGGGAACUGAAACAUCUAAGUACCCCGAGGAAAAGAAAUCAACCGAGAUUCCCCCAGUAGCGGCGAGCGAACGGGGAGGAGCCCAGAACCUGAAUCGGCUUGUGUGUUAGUGGAAGCGUCUGGAAAGUCGCGCAGCAAAGGGUGAUAGCCCCGUACACUAAAAUGCACAGGUCGUGAGUUCGAUGAGUAGGGCGGGACACGUGACAUCCUGUCUGAAUAUGGGGGGACCAUCCUCCAAGGCUAAAUACUCCUGACUGACCGAUAGUGAACCAGUACCGUGAGGGAAAGGCGAAAAGAACCCCGGCGAGGGGAGUGAAAUAGAACCUGAAACCGUGUACGUACAAGCAGUGGGAGCACCUUCGUGGUGUGACUGCGUACCUUUUGUAUAAUGGGUCAGCGACUUAUAUUUUGUAGCAAGGUUAACCGUAUAGGGGAGCCGUAGGGAAACCGAGUCUUAACUGGGCGAAUAGUUGCAAGGUAUAGACCCGAAACCCGGUGAUCUAGCCAUGGGCAGGUUGAAGGUUGGGUAACACUAACUGGAGGACCGAACCGACUAAUGUUGAAAAAUUAGCGGAUGACUUGUGGCUGGGGGUGAAAGGCCAAUCAAACCGGGAGAUAGCUGGUUCUCCCCGAAAGCUAUUUAGGUAGCGCCUCGUGAACUCAUCUUCGGGGGUAGAGCACUGUUUCGGCUAGGGGGCCAUCCCGGCUUACCAAACCGAUGCAAACUCCGAAUACCGAAGAAUGUUAUCACGGGAGACACACGGCGGGUGCUAACGUCCGUCGUGAAGAGGGAAACAACCCAGACCGCCAGCUAAGGUCCCAAAGUCAUGGUUAAGUGGGAAACGAUGUGGGAAGGCAUAGACAGCCAGGAUGUUGGCUUAGAAGCAGCCAUCAUUUAAAGAAAGCGUAAUAGCUCACUGGUCGAGUCGGCCUGCGCGGAAGAUGUAACGGGGCUAAACCAUGCACCGAAGCUGCGGCAGCGACGCUUAGC